CAGGUCACUCCUACGGGAGGCAGCAGUGGGGAAUAUUGGACAAUGGGGGAAACCCUGAUCCAGCAAUGCCGCGUGAGUGAUGAAGGCCUUAGGGUUGUAAAGCUCUUUCGACGGGGACGAUGAUGACGGUACCCGUAGAAGAAGCCCCGGCUAACUUCGUGCCAGCAGCCGCGGUAAGACGAAGGGGGCAAGCGUUAAUCGGAAUUACUGGGCGUAAAGCGUGCGUAGGCGGUGAGUUAAGUCUGUUGUGAAAUCCCCGGGCUCAACCUGGGAAUGGCAAUGGAUACUGGCUCGCUAGAGUGUGAUAGAGGAUGGUGGAAUUCCCGGUGUAGCGGUGAAAUGCGUAGAGAUCGGGAGGAACAUCAGUGGCGAAGGCGGCCAUCUGGAUCAACACUGACGCUGAGGCACGAAAGCGUGGGGAGCAAACAGGAUUAGAUACCCUGGUAGUCCACGCCCUAAACGAUGCGAACUGGAUGUUGGUCUCAACUCGGAGAUCAGUGUCGAAGCUAACGCGUUAAGUUCGCCGCCUGGGGAGUACGGUCGCAAGACUGAAACUCAAAGGAAUUACG
rnacentral:rRNA from 1 species